rnacentral:misc_RNA from 1 species
GAUGAAGAGCGCAGCGAAAUGCGAUAAGUAAUGUGAAUUGCAGAAUUCAGUGAAUCAUCGAAUCUUUGAACGCACAUUGCGCCCGCCAGUAUUCUGGCGGGCAUGCCUGUUCGAGCGUCAUUUCAACCAUCAAGCCCCCGGGCUUGUGUUGGGGACCUGCGGCUGCCGCAGGCCCUGAAAAGCAGUGGCGGGCUCGCUGUCACACCGAGCGUAGUAGAUUUUAUCUCGCUCUGGGCGUGCUGCGGGUUCCGGCCGUUAAACCACCCUUUUAACCCAAGGUUGACCUCGGAUCAGGUAGGAAGACCCGCUGAACUUAAGCAUAUCAAUAAGCGGAGGA